GAUGAACGCUGACAGAAGUGACUUAACACAUGACAAGUACGGACUCGAGUCGUUCGGAACUUGGGUGGCGUCUACGGGUGAGUAACGCGUAAAGAACUUGCCUCUUAGACCGGGACAACAUCUCGGUAAACGGAGUGCUAACUUACCGGAUAAUUAUUAGGUUUUUUCCGCAUGGAGGAAUCAUCGAAAGCUAGUAUGCGACUAAGAGGAAGGAGCGUUUGCGUCCCAUUAGUCGUUAGUUGGUGAGGUAACGGCCCACCAAGGCAAUGAUGGGUAGCCGGGCCUGAGAGGGUAGACCGGCCACAAGGGGACUGAGACACGGCCCUU
rnacentral:rRNA from 1 species